CAAUAGAGAGAAGAUCCUAGAACUCGCCAACAAGAUGAUUGAGCUGCUGACUGGAGAGGUUCCUAUAAGGUGUCAGGAUGUCACUGUCUAUUUCUCCAUGGAGGAGUGGGAGUAUUUAGAAGAACACAAAGAUAAGUACAAGAAUAUCAUGAUGGACGAUCACCGGACCCUCACAUCACCAGUUAAGGAAGAGAUAAGAACACCGGAGAGAUGUCCCAGUCCUCUUCUUCCUCAG